rnacentral:lncRNA from 13 species
AAACUCUCCCAAACCAAACAACCUGUCCUUUGUCCCGAGUUUGUCUGUGACCUUUGCGACUGCAUGUGUGUGAGAACAACAGCUGUUCCCAGCAGACGUUGCGAUUAAAGGAUCAUAUUAUGUCCUGUGGUGUUUUCUGCGUGUUAGGGCCAGAUGUUGUACUGUUUGAAAACGUCCUGUGAUACCCAGAGGUGGAUGAACCCAAAUGCUACGUUCAAAUCAGUGCUGUGCUAAUCAAAUCAAAUCAAAUUGUAUUGGUCACAUACACGUGAUUAGUAGACACGCAGUUAUUGCGAGUGUAGCGGAAAUGUUUGUGCUUCUACCUCCGGCAGUGCAGUAACAUCUACCAAGUAAUUUCUAACAAAUAUCUUUGUUGAUAGGUUGUGAUUGUUUGAUUGUGGAAAUCUUCCGGGGUUUGGGUGCAUCCCAGAGUGAAGCAUAAUGAUAGUCAUGUGGAAUGAAUAAGAGAGGAGCUGACUGAAAUAAAGAUAGUUUGCCAAAAUGUGUGUGUGGGUGUGUGUUUUCAUUUCUCCCUGUUGCUUUUGUGGCUAAUUCUGUUGCUAAUUGUUUUCAGAGUUCAAACACGAUGCCCUCACUCCCAGAUAUGCGUGAUUUCAUUACAGUGAAUCAGAACGAGAUUAAGAGUGUUAUGCUGUAUGUUGUCAUGAUUAAAUCACUUUAGUUAUGCUCAUCAGUGUAGAAUCAACACACACCUCCUCCAAGCGUAAACAUUGCAAUCAUCGUUCUCCUUGUUUGAAAAAACUGUGAUUUUCUUUUAUUUCCCCAAAUACUUUCUCUGAACAAAGAAAAACAGUCAUUUUAGUACAGACACCUAGUGAAUAGAGACAGUCCGUGACUCUGUUAUUUCUGUUCUCUUCUGGAUAGGAUCCAUUUAUGAGAGCAGUAGAAGUGAGGAGAGAGCAGGCAGUGUGUGUUACUGUUGAUGGUGUAUUACAUUAACGUGUUAUUGUGUCCAUCUGUCUGUCCCCAGCUCCCAGUGCAGCCCCUCGUGGGGUUACCAUCUCAGAGAGCGGGGACAAUGGGACCGCCAUUGUGGUCUCCUGGCAACCGCCUCCAGAAGAGGAGCAGAAUGGGGUGGUCCAGGAGUACAAGAUCUGGUGUUUGGGGAAUGAGAGCAGAUACCAUAUCAACCGUACGGUGGACGGCUCUACCUUCUCCUUGCUGAUCCCCAUCCUGGCUCCAGGGAUCCGUUAUAGUGUGGAGGUCGCAGCCAGCACUGGGGCAGGCCAAGGGGUCAAGUCUGACGUCACCUUCUUCCAGAUAGGUGAGUGGAGGAGAACUCUGGUCUGCAAUUCUCUGCAGGAGUUCCAAGUAUGAUUAUUCCUCCUCGGGUGGAAGAGGAGGAAGAGGAGGGACAUGUCCUUCUUCUAUGUGUCCUCACUUGUUAACUUCGUACAGCGUGGAUUCCUUCCCCAACUUCUUCAACCGCAACGGCUGGAAUAUAGUCAAUGGACAUUUUGUAGUAUUGACUUCCCUUUAAUCUCAUUCUGAAGAGCACACUAAUCCA